UACGUAGGGGGCGAGCGUUGUCCGAAGUUACUGGGCGUAAAGCGCGCGUAGGCGGCUUUUUAAGUCUGGGGUGAAAGGUUCUGCGCUUAACGUGAACAGUGCCCUGGAGACUGGAAGGCUUGAGUGUGGGAGGGGGCAGUGGAAUUCCUGGUGUAGCGGUGAAAUGCGUAGAUAUCAGGAGGAACACCCGAUGGCGAAGGCAGCGUGCCUG
rnacentral:rRNA from 1 species